GAUUUGAUAUUUCCAGUGUUGUUCUUGUUGAAUAAGAUAGAUCAUAUAUUAAAUCAGAAGCGGUGUUGAAGAUCAUGGAAUACCUGGAAUUGCCUUUCCCUCAGCUUGCAUUCUUUAUGCAAUUCAUACCCUUGCUCGUAAGGGACUUCAUGUACGACAACAUCGCGAACAACCGGUAUGUGAUUUACGGGUAUUCGGAUUCGUGCGAGAUAUGAAGCAAUACAAUGAAUAGUAAGUCAUAUAUCACACAAAAAUGGAGGGCAUCAUAAUAAA